rnacentral:rRNA from 1 species
AUGGCUCUGGAGAUGAAGGUAAAACACAAAAUGACCGACGCAUGCUUCGACGAGAACAUGUCAUUCUGGCACGAACGUCUUCCCAAGGGGAACAAGUGCCCGACAAGUUUCGAGGAGGCGAAGAAAAUCGUGUGUCCUCUGGAUUUACCGCACGUGAAAUACCAUGUGUGCAUGAAGAAUUGCAUCAUUUAUCGGGACGAGCACGCGGAGUCUACCAUAUGUCCGGUGUGCGGCGUCACUCGAUACAAGAAGAGGAAGAAAGCUCCUCGAAAAGUGGUGUGGUACUUUCCGAUCACUCCUCGUCUGCAGCGGUAUUUCGCUGACCCUAAGGUAGCAAAGCUCCUGCGUUGGCACGCGGAUAGGGACGAGAAGAAGCGAGAAGAUGACGCAAAUGAUCCAGAGAUAAAUAAAAAAGACAAGAUGCUGAGUCACCCUAAGGAUGGGAGCCAGUGGCAAGCGUUGAACUUCGAACACCCAGAAUUUGGGAAGGAUCCAAGGAACAUCGUGCUGGGCGCGAGCACCGAUGGAGUCAAUCCGUUUGGCAGCCAGAGAAGCACACAUAGCACCUGGCCUGUGUUUGUGUGGAUGUACAACCUUCCCCCCUGGUUGUGCAUGAAGAGGAAGUACAUUCACAUGAGUAUGCUAAUUGAAGGGCCGAAACAACCAGGGAACGACAUCAAUCUGUAUCUGGGGCUGCUGAAAGAGGAGCUAGACACGCUGUGGAAAACGCCAGCCAAUAUGUGGGACGCCGCAGAGAAAGAAUAUUUCCCUAUGAGAGCCGCACUGCUCAUGACGGUGCACGACUAUCUCGGUUACAGAUAUCUCGCGGGGCAGGUGGUCCACGGAUUUUCUGGAUGCGUCAGGUGCAUGGAUGACACAACGUAUCGCCAGCUAGAUAGAGAUCCCGGGUCUUCGAAAACCGUGUUCAUGGGACAUCGAAGGUGGCUUUGCGACGAUGACCCGUGGAGGAAACGCAAGGAUCUGUUCGAUGGUGAAACCGAACCCCGAAGACGCCCGCGUACGAGGAGCGGCGAGGAAAUAGACGAGCUGUUGAAAAAUUGGAAAGAUUGCCCACUGCCGGGAAAGAAGCAAAAGGCGCCAGAGCCGGGAAAGAAGCGAAAGGCGCCAGAGCCGCUGCUGAAGGUAUGGAAAACGAGGUCUGUUUUCUAG